rnacentral:rRNA from 1 species
ACGGCUCAGUAACACGUGGACAACCUGCCCUUAGGUUGGGUAUAAACCCGGGAAACUGGGUAUAAUACCCGAUAGGUCUCGAUUGCUGGAAUGCAUCGAGAUUUAAAGCUCCGGCGCCUAAGGAUGGGUCUGCGGCCUAUCAGGUAGUAGUGGGUGUAGCGUACCUACUAGCCUACGACGGGUACGGGUUGUGAGAGCAAGAGCCCGGAGAUGGAUUCUGAGACACGAAUCCAGGCCCUACGGGGUGCAGCAGGCGCGAAAACUUUACAAUGCUGGCAACAGCGAUAAGGGAACCUCGAGUGCCAGGUUACAAAUCUGGCUGUCGAGAUGCCUAAAAAGCAUUUCAUAGCAAGGGCCGGGCAAGACCGGUGCCAGCCGCCGCGGUAACACCGGCGGCUCGAGUGGUAACCGUUAUUAUUGGGUCUAAAGGGUCUGUAGCCGGCCGGAUAAGUCUCUUGAGAAAUCUGGCAGCUUAACUGUCAGGCUUUCAGGAGAUACUGUCUGGCUCGAGGCCGGGAGAGGUGAGAGGUACUUCAGGGGUAGGGGUGAAAUCUUGUAAUCCUUGAAGGACCACCAGUGGCGAAGGCGUCUCACCAGAACGGACCUGACGGCAAGGGACGAAAGCUAGGGGCACGAACCGGAUUAGAUACCCGGGUAGUCCUAGCCGUAAACGAUACUCGCUAGGUGUCGGCCACGGUGCGACCGUUGUCGGUGCCGUAGGGAAGCCGUGAAGCGAGCCACCUGGGAAGUACGGCCGCAAGGCUGAAACUUAAAGGAAUUGGCGGGGGAGCACCACAACGGGUGGAGCUUGCGGUUUAAUUGGAUUCAACGCCGGAAAUCUUACCGGGACCGACAGCAAUAUGAAGGCCAGGCUGAAGACUUUGCCGGAUUGGCUGAGAGGUGGUGCAUGGCCGUCGUCAGUUCGUACUGUGAAGCAUCCUGUUAAGUCAGGCAACGAGCGAGACCCCUGCC